rnacentral:lncRNA from 1 species
GAGCAAACAGCAGCCAUCAUGAGACAGGGAUGAAGUGCCCAGGAGCUGUUCUGGGCGUUCAUUGGUUGUCCUUAGUUUUCCUGGAACCAGGGUACUUUUGGUUAUGUGAGUCCACAUGCCCUUAAAAAUUGUAGCCUUUUGCUGAUAAAUCGAGUAGAAACAGAGACAAACAAAACAGCUUGAACUUACCUCCAAACCUGUACUGACCCAGUGAAACAACUCCUUGUUUCUGCUUUAUUGCAUAGAGAGAUAGUUUUAGUUCCCCUUUAGGGUCUCAGUAGAGAUUUCUUAGUGUUGCUGUGGGACAUGAAUUUCUUUCAGAGAAUGUGCCAUAAUGUGAAAUCUGUAAGAUCACUUAGUCAGUUGAUCCAAGUUCUUGUUCUCAUUCAUCCAUUUAACCCAGAGCAACUCCACUGUUCUCUGCCUCAGCUUCCUUGUCUGUAUGUGGUGUCGGGCAAAGUCGUCUCUCUGAGGACCCUUCCAGCUUUGAGAUUCUCUGAUGCCCAGUCCAGGAUACCAGUUCAAUGAAUAGUUUUUGUUUUGUUUUGUUUUGUUUAAGCAGUGAGGAUAAAUGUUAUGGGGUAUAAAUUUUAUCUCAAUAAAGAUUUUUUAAAAUAUUUAAUUUUUAUUUGUAGUUGGACACAAUACCUUUAUUUUUAUGUGGUGCUGAGGAUCGAAUCCAGGGCCUUGCACAUGCUAGGCGAGCACUCUACCGUUGAGCCACAACCCCAGCCCAUCAAUAAAGAUUUUUUAGCACCCCAGAUCAUUUGUUUUAUCAUAGAUUUCCUUCCAAACUCCUGGGGAAACAAAAUCUACUUAGAUUUCUUUUUCGUUUUCUUUUGUGGUGCUAGGGAUUGAACCCAGGGCCUUGUGCAUGUGAAGCAAGCACUCUAUCAAUUGAGCUAUAUCCCCAGCCCUAGUUAGAUUUCUUUAUGCAAGAAUUGUCUUUUGGUUUAUCUUGUUUUUCUUCUAUUUUUAUUGGUACAUUAUAAUUAUAC